rnacentral:rRNA from 2 species
AUAACGACUCUCGGCAACGGAUAUCUCGGCUCUCGCAUCGAUGAAGAACGUAGCGAAAUGCGAUACUUGGUGUGAAUUGCAGAAUCCCGUGAACCAUCGAGUCUUUGAACGCAAGUUGCGCCUUAGGCCUUUAAGCCGAGGGCACGUCUGCCUGGGUGUCACG